UCCCUGGUGGUCCAGUGGCCAAGACUCCAUGUUACCAAUGUAGGGGACCCAGGUUCGAUCCCUGGUCAGGGAA
rnacentral:tRNA from 1 species